rnacentral:rRNA from 1 species
ACCCGAAGCCCGUGGCCCUAUGGGGAGCGGUCGAAGGUGGGGCUGGUGAUUGGGACGAAGUCGUAACAAGGUAGCCGUACCGGAAGGUGCGGCUGGAUCACCUCCUUUCUAAGGA